UUGAAGCAGCUUUGUUGUGAUUUGGUGUUGUAUGAAAUAAAUUGAAUCAACUGAAUUUACCCCAGGUGGACUCAAAUUAAGCUGUAGAAACAUCUCAGGGAUGAUCAGUGGCAACAGGAUGCACCAGAGCUCAAUGCGGAGCUCCAUAGCAAAGGCUGCGAAUACUUAUGUACAUGUGAUUACUCAAGUUAUUCUU